AUACGGAGGGUGCAAGCGUUAUUCGGAAUCACUGGGCGUAAAGGACGCGUAGGCGGGUUUGCAAGUCAGAUGUGAAAUCCUACAGCUUAACUGUAGAACUGCAUUUGAAACUGCUAACCUAGAGUAUGGGAGGGGGAGAUGGAAUUAGUGGUGUAGGGGUAAAAUCCGUAGAUAUCACUAGGAAUACCGAAAGCGAAGGCGAUCUCCUGGAACAUAACUGACGCUAAGGCGUGAAAGCGUGGGGAGCAAACAGGAUUAGAAACCCUAGUAGUCC
rnacentral:rRNA from 1 species